GUGCAGUUGAAGAGGUGUGGCCCAAUUCCUUUUCCGGAGCAUCCAGGGAUUGUCGUCAGAAACCAGUGAAGGGUAAAAGGAUUGAUGUGAAGAAACUCGUUCUGAGAAGUAAAGAUUCUUUCUAUUUAAACAACAGUGUCUGAAAACUAAGCAUUUUGUCAUAUACUGAAUUACAAGACAAGGAUCUCACAAUGUACCCUGGGAUAGCCUGGAACUCACUAUGCAGAUGAAGCUGGCCUUGAACUCACAGAGAUCCUCCUGCUUCUGCCUCCUGAGUGUUGGUUUCAAAGAGACACAACUCCACACUUGGCUUAGUAGUGUUUCUGAAAUGCUGAUGUCUCAGAAUGUCUAAAAGAAUACAAAUAACCUCCUAUCACCUCCACACAGAGGAACACAUGACUAUAAACAGCCUCCGCAGACCCUCUGAUGCUCUACUCAGCACUAUAUUGCCUAAGGGAACAAAUCCUUUUUGCCCUACUCAAGUUGACAAGUAAAGCAAAUGUAUUUUAUGAUGGUAACAGUAUUUCAUGUGUGGUGUAUAUGUGGGGUAAUUAGUAAAUAGAGCAUUCACUGAAAUAUUCAACACUUCACAAAUGUAUCAUUUUAGGGUAAGAACAUUAGCUAAUGCCAAGGAAUUUAUUAUCAACUAUAACCAGGCAUUCCAUUCUCAGAGUUUAUUCAUCCAAACUGAAAUUUGUAUACUUUAUCCAACACCUCCCCAGCACUCUGCUACUCCUGUAACCACCACCAGUCUCUGCUUCUGUGAUUCUGGCAUUAUUAAUUCCAUGUGGGAAAUCUUACAUCAUCUGUCUUUCUGUGCCAGACAUGUUUAACUUAUUGUGUCAUGCUGAUUCAUUCAUAUUGCCACAAAUGGCAAAUAUUCCCUGUUUUUAAAAGUUUAAUAAUGCCAAACCUGUGUUUGUCCCUACUCAUAUGUAAUACUGUAUAGUUGUUUUAAGUGAGAUAUAGAUAUAAAUAUAGGUAUAGAUAUAGAUAUAGAUAUACAGAUAUUUCAUCAGUUUAUACACUGAUAGACUGUUAUGUUGAUUCCGUAUCUUGGUUAUUAUAAACAAAUGUUACAAUGAAGAUAGGGGUGCAAUGCAUCUUCAACAUAUGGAGAUGUAUGUAUGUAUGAAUGUGUGUAUGUAUAUAUGUAUCUGAUAUUGAUGGACCACAUGAUAAUACUUCUGUCAUGUUACAUAUUUGCCUUGUUUCUCUGCCAUGAUACAGACAUCAUAAGGAGAGUUUAUUUUAGUUCAAAG